CCAACAACAAUUCAGUCUUCAGCUUGAAGAACAGAAGAUGGACUUUGCGAGCGAUAAUCUGGACGCACCCUCUGCACGUUCUGUUCUGACUUCUUGCGUCGAUGCUGCAGCUGAAACGUGUGCCGCCCACCAUCGAUUCUCAUUCCGUGGCAGGGAGUCUUUCGCUUUGCUUAGAAGCUUUCCAGUGAGAAUCACAGGCAUCACGAGUCACCGUUCACCUGGGCCAUCUUCUCUCCCCGCCUCCAGCCAUGUUUGCCUGCUCAGCAAACCAUAGCUGUGCCGCAGCUCAGCCUUGCCUGCCCCAGCCUCCUCCCGCAUUGUUAGCUACCAUCACUGGAGUGCAUCCAAUCCGUCUCCAUGACUUAUGUCUCUUCCUGAUCCUCAAGAUCCAACAUAAUCUAUUCCUGCUGCUGUCUCAACCUGAAGGACUCCCAGCCACCUCCCAGCCCUCACUUUUCCUGCACCCUGCUGGGCUCUACAGUUCCCUCUCCUCCUCUCUCCGCAGUCCUCUCUCAGAGAACCAUACAACCUGUUCCCCCAUUUCCCAAACCAGAUGCCUACGGCUAAAGAUUCCCCUGAUUUCCCAUAACUCAGUGGAAGGGCAACAUUUCGGACAAAGUCUAUUCAGGUUUCUCUUGGGCUCCUAGAUUGGGUGACUUUCUCUUGGGGUUUCCAUGUGCCUGUCCAGUCCCUGUACCCCACCAUCACUGACGCUUUCAGCACUCCGACUUUGUCUGGACUGGACACCAUCUGAGGCAACGUCUGUUACUCGCUGGCCAGUUCAUUUCUAAGUCGUCCCGAUAAUUAUGUCCUGUUUUCUCUCAUGAAGAACCUCACACUCCAUGAGGGUUUUUUUUUAUUUGCCUGUUUUUGUUUUUUUCAAGGCAAGGUCUUGCUCUCCACCGAUUUAGCCUCCAGAAUACGACCCUCCCGCCUCGGCCUUCUGGGUGCUGGGAUUCCAGGCAUGCACAGGUAUAGCCAGCAGCUCCACAUGGUCUUAAAGAGUUCCUGGGUGGUCUCCUGCUAAUGCUUCCCUCACAAAGCUGGGCACGUGGCCAGCUGGGCUAAUUACAGCCGCCCACAUCCCCAGCAACCGCGCUUUCUAGACCAUCAGCUGGACUCUCACGGAGUCUCCCAGGGUCCCAUGAGGCCGAGCUCUGCUCCGUAGCCACCUUUGCAGCGGGGGCUCCGUACACCCACAGCACCCUGUCAGCAAGCACGUGAUGAGAGGGAGCUCUCCGGAAGAGGCUUCAUUUCCUCCUCCUGGCCCCUCACACCCCGAGGUUUCGGGUUUCAGAAAAGAAGCGAGCCUUGUGACAUUUGCCAGGACACUCUUGAGGAAUGGAGUGUGGUCACUGUGCACAUUGGCUUCUGGGUCCUUAGCGACAUGUCCCUAUUCCUUUACUGAGCUCUGGACACCCCUGAGGAUCUCAAACAUCAGGCCCCAUUUUCUUCGGUUUUCCACAAGAAGAGAUCUAAAGACUGUAUGAGAAGGAAGGCCACUGGAGGGCUUCUUUGCUUUCAUCCACGUGAUAAGUCCUAGGGGCCAGGGGUGCAGGAUGAGCGGCAGAGCAGCCAGAGAAGAGGCCCCGAGGAGACUGUGCAAACAUGGCAUGCAAACAUGGCAUGAUUGUGCCCACAUGAAGCUUCCUCACACCAGUGACAGGCAGGGCAGAGGAGAGCUCACCAGUAAAGCAUCUGGACUCUACAGUAGCUGUGUGGCCUUAGGCAGCUCGUUUUCUCUCUGUCUCUGAUGCACUUCACUGACACAAUCUGUAAAAUCAGAUUGAAAGUAGCACUUACCUCCCGGGGUGGCUAUGGGGAAUAAAUGGAUGACUUAUACAGCAUGCA